rnacentral:misc_RNA from 1 species
CAAACUUGAUUUAUUAUUACAAUAGUCAAAACUUUCAACAACGGAUCUCUUGGUUCUCGCAUCGAUGAAGAACGCAGCGAAAUGCGAUACGUAAUAUGAAUUGCAGAUAUUCGUGAAUCAUCGAAUCUUUGAACGCACAUUGCGCCCUUUGGUAUUCCAAAGGGCAUGCCUGUUUGAGCGUCAUUUCUCCCUCAAACCCCCGGGUUUGGUGUUGAGCAAUACGCUAGGUUUGUUUGAAAGAAUUUAACGUGGAAACUUAUUUUAAGCGACUUAGGUUUAUCCAAAAACGCUUAUUUUGCUAGUGGCCACCACAAUUUAUUUCAUAACUUUGACCUCAAAUCAGGUAGGACUACCCGCUGAACUUAAGCAUAUCAA